rnacentral:rRNA from 1 species
GACGAACGCUGGCGGCGUGCCUAAUACAUGCAAGUAGAACGCUGAAGGAGGAGCUUGCUCUUCUGGAUGAGUUGCGAACGGGUGAGUAACGCGUAGGUAACCUGCCUGGUAGCGGGGGAUAACUAUUGGAAACGAUAGCUAAUACCGCAUAACAGUAGAUGUUGCAUGACAUUUGCUUAAAAGGUGCAAUUGCACCACUACCAGAUGGACCUGCGUUGUAUUAGCUAGUUGGUGGGGUAACGGCUCACCAAGGCGACGAUACAUAGCCGACCUGAGAGGGUGAUCGGCCACACUGGGACUGAGACACGGCCCAGACUCCUACGGGAGGCAGCAGUAGGGAAUCUUCGGCAAUGGACGGAAGUCUGACCGAGCAACGCCGCGUGAGUGAAGAAGGUUUUCGGAUCGUAAAGCUCGGUUGUAAGAGAAGAACGAGUGUGAGAGUGGAAAGUUCACACUGUGACGGUAUCUUAACAGAAAGGGACGGCUAACUACGUG